AAUGCCCCUGCCAACGAUGGCCAGCUCCUCUGAAAUGGGAGCAGCAGGCUGGAGCAGCCUGUUUUUAGGGUACAUGCAGCCAAGCGGAGCAGGAAGGAAGACAGAUGAUGAAAUAAUGGCACUGAGAUUUCCUGUCAAAGGAAUAUCACUGUGUUCUGCUUCCUUCUCUUGUGUCAGGUCACCAGAACUGACUCGAUUGCAUUUGAAGACUGGUCAGAGCAGGAAAGUACUCCAGGACUCUCAGCUUCCCUCUGAAGGAUUCUCAAAAUGGGAAACACCCAUUUAUAUGAUAAAAUACAUUUGUUAAACUGUGCUUGUGGGAGACAUAUAACUAGAGGAAAGAAGAUAGUGGAAUUCCCAAACAAGGUGCAUUUGCUAAGGAAUGAGUUUGUUUGCUUUCCUGCAAAAACAUCUCACAACCAGGAAUGAGCGUGGAACUCGUUGGGUCUGGGAGCUGUUAUAACCAGCCAGCAGUCUGCCAAUGUUGUAGAUUAAAAUGUCUGUAGAUUAAAACAAUGCCAUUGCUUAGGAGAACCAAAGUAAAAUCAGAAGGCUGUGUUCAAAGGUUUCACCAGGAAAUAAAGUCCAUAGGCAUUUGAGCUUCAAAGUGCUGACCCAUGAGAAGCAGACUUAAGAAAACAAAAACACUAAAUAAAUUGUCACAUUAACCAGAGAAAAUGAAGAAGAACUUCAUGUGUAUUUGUAGACUUGUACUUCACUCUCUGAAAUGUUUUUUGCCUUUUCAGAAAAUCCAGAGGACACUCUUCCCUUUCCCAUGGCAAGGGGACCACCACUGGCACAGGGCCAGUCAGCCAGUAGAUUCCCAGUGAAAAUUUUACCUGUUUGUCCUAAAUGGGAGUGUCACAGAUUUGUUUUUUAAAUUACUUUGUUCAUCUUAAAUUUGUAGGUAUAUAAUUAUAUAGAACCUAAUCAAAUUAUUCUAGCAAAUUUGGGGAGGGAACUCAAAAAUUAUGGGGAUUGGA